rnacentral:rRNA from 1 species
GAUGAACGCUGGCGGCGUGCCUAAUACAUGCAAGUCGAGCGAACAGACGAGGAGCUUGCUCCUCUGACGUUAGCGGCGGACGGGUGAGUAACACGUGGAUAACCUACCUAUAAGACUGGGAUAACUUCGGGAAACCGGAGCUAAUACCGGAUAAUAUAUUGAACCGCAUGGUUCAAUAGUGAAAGACGGUUUUGCUGUCACUUAUAGAUGGAUCCGCGCCGCAUUAGCUAGUUGGUAAGGUAACGGCUUACCAAGGCAACGAUGCGUAGCCGACCUGAGAGGGUGAUCGGCCACACUGGAACUGAGACACGGGCCAGACUCCUACGGGAGGCAGCAGUAGGGAAUCUUCCGCAAUGGGCGAAAGCCUGACGGAGCAACGCCGCGUGAGUGAUGAAGGUCUUCGGAUCGUAAAACUCUGUUAUUAGGGAAGAACAAAUGUGUAAGUAACGAUGCACGUCUUGACGGUACCUAAGCAGAAAGCCACGGCUAACUACGU